UACAGAGGUCUCAAGCGUUGUUCGGAUUCAUUGGGCGUAAAGGGUGCGUAGGUGGCGCCAUAAGUCAGGUGUGAAAUCUCGGGGCUUAACUCCGAAACUGCAUUUGAUACUGUGGUGCUUGAGGACUGGAGAGGAGACUGGAAUUCACGGUGUAGCAGUGAAAUGCGUAGAUAUCGUGAGGAACACCAGUGGCGAAGGCGAAUCUCUGGACAAUUCCUGACACUGAUGCUCGAAGGCCAGGGGAGCAAACGGG
rnacentral:rRNA from 1 species